AAGAUUGAAAAAAGCGAAACGUGACCAGAAUGCGCAAAAUUAAGUAAGUAACUUAUUAUAUACCAGUUCUCUGUCUGUCUGUCUGUCUGUCUGUAUGUCUUUCUUUCUCUGUCAACACUUCCUCUCCCCCUUCUCAUGUUUCUCCCCUCCCCCACCUCUGCUUUAUCUUUCUUGCAACUCUCUUUCUCCCAUACUAUGACAUCGUCUUCUUCAUGUCUCUCUCUCUCUCCUUACUUUCGCUUUUCUAUCAUUCUUGUUUCUUUCUUUCUCUCUCUGUCUGUCUCUCUUUCUCUCGUCUCUCACUUCCCCUCUCUUUGCUUUCAAUCUUUCUUGCAUCUCCCUCUCAACUCUUCUCUCUCUCUCUCUCUCUCUCUCUCCCAUUGUCUCUCUCAUUGAUUUCUAAUCACGUAUUUCUCUCUCUUUCCCUCUCAACACUUUCUCACCCUCUCAUGUCUCUCCCUCCCUCUCUCCCCCUCUCUCCUAACACUUUCUCAACCUCUCAUGUCGCUCCUUCUCUAUCUGCUCUCUCUCUAUUUCUCUCUCUCUCUUUCUCUCUCUCUCUCUCUCUCUCUCUCUAUCUCUCUUUCUCUCUCUCUUUCUCUCUUUCUUUCUCUCUUUCUCUCUCUCUUUCUCUCUUUCUCGCUUUCUCUCUCUCUUUCUCUCUCUCAACACUUUCACCCUCUCAUUGUCUCUCCCUUUCUUUCUCUCAACACUUUUCACCCUCUCAUUGUCUCUCUCUCUCUGCUUUCUCUCUCAACACUUUCUCUCCUCCUCUCUCUGCUCUCUCAUUCUGUCAGUCACUCUCUCUCCCUCCCUCCUCAUCCCUCUCCUCUACAAACUCCCUGCUUCAUCUCUUUCCAUCUCCGCUACAAACCAAUCCAGUCAAUAACCCUAUCCACACCACAAUAUAUAUAUCUGCUUUUAAAUAGACCCAUGCUAACUUCUCCCAUCAGCUUUCUUAUAUAUUUAUGAAAACUCCGUCUUCAAAACAUGGAGGGCUUGUGGCUUAGUGGUUAGGGUGUUUGCUUCACAAUUGUAAGGUUGUGAGUUCAAUUCCUGGCAGCACCUUGUGUCCUUGACCCAGACACUUUAUUUCAUGUUGCUCCAGUCCACUUAUGUCUUAAAGAUAAGUGGUACCUGUAAUUCAAAGGGGCCAGCCUUAUCACAUUCUAUGUAAUGCUGAGUCUCCCUGAGAUCUAUGUUAAGGGCCCACAUCUCUGUGGAGGGCUCUGUGAAGUCAUUUUUGGCUCCACAUGCUGGGAGUAUUUUACUCAAAUCAACCCCCUCUAAUUUUUUUUUUUAAGCCUAGUGCUUACUCUAUUGGUCUCUUUUGCCAAAUCGCUAAGUUACAGCAACGUAAAUUCACCAACAUCAGUUAUCAAGCAGUGGGGUCAAUAUAAUCGACUUAAUCCGUUUGUCCUCUCUGUGUUUAGCCCCUUGUGGGUAAAACAAGAGAAACAGGUGUAUAAACAAGCAGGUGUAUUAGUUUGUUUACUGCUCGUGAAGGUGAGAAAGUCGUUUACAUUUUGAGCUUAUGCUCUUCAUCAGAAAGGAACAUGAGGAAAUAAAGAGAGAGAGAAUAAAGAAAACUUGUGGAUUUAGCGGCCAACAUUGUUUUUUUGUUGAUCUUGAUGUUAUUAACCCACAUUUUUCCCUAUACAAGGGGUUGCUCAAAUGUUUCUGACUUUGGGUAAAAGAAAACCCUGGAGGAUCAGUUAAUUACGAUUUCAUUCAUUCAACAUAUUCCCCUCUCAGAUUCACAACAAUAAUAAGCUCAUUUCUUUGAGGACAAAUGUAAUUUUAUAUUCAUUUAUUUCCAGGGCCAUAAGUAACCAUGUUGACCACAAAGCUAGAUGACCAAUUACAUAAAAAGGAAAAAGCCCUGAGUAAGUAAUUCUUAGAACUCUUUGAAAAUGUCUCUUCUCUCUGCCUUUUUUUUUGCUGCUACUGUGUUGGCCUCUAAUCUUCAGAACUAACAAGACUCAUGCUGCCUCCACACAGAUAUUUCUGAUCCACUCAUAUUUCUCUCUCUCUCUCUCUCUCUCUCUGUUUUCUUUUUCUCUCUCACUGUCUUUGUUUACUCUCUCUCUCUCUACUAUCCCUUUAUCCAUCCAUCUAUCCAUCUCUUUAUCUACCGUCCCUCUAUCUACCGUCCCUCUAUCUACCAUCCAUCUAUCUACCGUCCAUCUAUCCAUCCAUCAAUCUCUCUUUCUACCAUCCAUCUAUCUACUAUCCCUUUAUCCAUCCAUCUAUCCAUCUCUUUAUCUACCGUCCCUCUAUCUACCGUCCCUCUAUCUACCGUCCAUCUAUCUACCGUCCAUCUAUCCAUCCAUCAAUCUCUCUUUCUACCAUCCAUCUAUCUACUAUCCCUUUAUCCAUCCAUCUAUCCAUCUCUUUAUCUACCGUCCCUCUAUCUACCGUCCAUCUAUCUACCGUCCAUCUAUCCAUCCAUCAAUCUCUCUUUCUACCAUCCAUCUAUCUACUAUCCCUUUAUCCAUCCAUCCAUCCAUUCAUCAGUGUACUGCAACUGGCAGCAAAACAGGAGCAUCCCUGGGUUUGUGAGCAGAGGAGCUGUAAUGCUGCUGAAGAAAGAUCCAAACAAGGGGGAUGUAAUAGAUAACUUUAGGCCCAUCACUCUACUGAAUGCAUUCUAUCUAUCUAUCUAUCACUCUAUCUACAUCACUCUAUCUAUCUAUCACUCUAUCUAUCUGCCUAUCUAUCUAUCUGCCUAUCUAUCUGCCUAUCUAUCUAUCUGCCUAUCUAUCUAUCUAUCUGCCUAUCUAUAUACCUGCCUAUCUAUAUACCUGCCUAUCUAUAUACCUGCCUAUCUAUAUGCCUGCCUAUCUAUAUGCCUGCCUAUCUAUAUGCCUGCCUAUCUAUAUGCCUGCCUAUCUAUAUGCCUGUCUAGCUAUAUGCCUGUCUAUAUACCUGUCUAUCUAUAUACCUGUCUAUCUAUAUACCUAUCUAUCUAUCACUCUACCCAUCUAUCUUCACAUCUAUCUGUCCUUCCAUCUAUCCACUUACUUACCUACCUACCUACCUACAUAUCUGUCUGCUGUCUAUUAAUUUCAGAUUGUCCGUUGACCACUCAUUCAAGACAAGUUGCCAGAAAAAUGACCAUAAACAAAAAUCCAGUGAAUUCUAGCAUGAAAUGGAGAAACAUACACAACUGACCAAUCACAUGACUGACCCCCGGAGAGGAUAUCCAAUCACAACCAAACUAACACUAACAUGUGAUAACAAAAAAACAACAGCAUCAUCAUCAUCAUCAAAGAUAGCAACAGCUACAAAACCAUAAUGGACAGAGACAAUUAGCACAACUAAAAAAAAACCACAACAAUUAUUAUUAUUAUUAUUAUUACUAUUAUUAUCAUUAACGAUGGUGGUCAGUUGGCAGUAUUUUUAGGGCCCCUGGGCAAAAAUGCCUUACUCUAUUUCUUCCGAUUCUUUUGCAUCCUGAGUUCAAAUCCUGCUGAGGGCAACUUUGACUUUCAUUCCUCUGGGGUGGGCGGCAGGAGUGUCCGAUAAAAUUAGUGUACCGGUCAAGUACUGGCAGUCAGUGGUAUCCACACGAACUCCGUCCUUCCCCCUUGCAAUUACUGGCUUCAUGCAGAAAAAAAUUAGGUAUAAUUAUUAUUAUGGUGGUGGCCGUGAACUGGAAAAAAUACUUAGCGGUAUUUUUUCUGGCUCUUCAACUACGUUCUGAGUUCAGAUUCCACCCAGGUCGACUUUGCCUUUCAUCCUCUUGGAGAGGUCGAUAAAAUGAAGUACCAGUUAACCACUGGGGUCGAUGUAAUUGGCUUACCCCCACCCCUCAAUUUCUGGCCUGGUGCCAAAAAUUUAAAACACCAUUAUCAUUAUUAUCAUUAUUAUUAUUAUCAUUAUUAUUAUUUUUGUUGUUGUUAUUAUUAUUAUUGUUAAGGUAGCGAGCUGGUAGAAUCGUUAGCACGCCAGGUGAAAUAUGUUCAGUAGUAUUUCGUCUGCCACUACAUUCUGAGGUCGACUUCGCCUUACAUCCUUUCGGGGUCGAAAAAUUCAGUACCAGUGAAAUACUGGAGUCGAUAUAAUUGACUCAUCCUCUGCCCCCAAAAUGGCUGCCCAUGUGGCAAAAUUUGAAACUAUUAUUAUUAUCAUUAUUGUUGUUGUUGGUACACUAGUGUCAGGAUGUGCAGAAAGGUGAACGAAAUACUGCUUGCAGUGUUUUAGUAUACCAUUUCUGUGUUCCGAGUUCAAUUCCCGCUGAAGUCAACUUUGCCCUUUGCCCUCUCUAGGAUGGGGCAAUAAAACAGAGUCCCAGUUUGUAUACUGGCGUCCAUUUACACAACUGCUACCCACCUCUUGCCCUCAUUUCCUCCCCCACUUUGUGUCCAAUUCUCCUUUGCUACUACUACUACUACUGCUGCUUCUUCUACUAUUAUUACUACUACUACUACUACUGCUGUUGUUGUUGUUGUUGCUGUGGUUGUUAUAUUUUGUUGUUAUUAUUAAUAUUAUGGUAGCGAGCUAGCAGAGUCGUUAGCAAGUCAGGUAAAAAAUGCAUAGUGGUAUUUCACCCGGCUUCUUUACAUUCUAAGUUCAAUUUCCAUCGAGGCCCACUUUGCCCUUCGUCCCUUCAGGGUCGAUAAAAUAAGCACCAAUUGAACACUAAGGCGGAUUGUGGGGUUGAUGUAAUCAACUACCCUUCCCCUCAAAAUUGCUGGCUUUGUGCUGCUAAAAUUAGAGAGAAUUAUUAUUUAUUAUUGUUGUUAUUUUACUAAACAAAAGAGGUCCCUAAUCGGUCCCUGUCAUUCCUUGACAAGAACCACCCCUUUUACCUUUUUCUUCUUUCUUUUUUUUUUUUUUUACUUAAAUCGGUUUCUAAAUAUCGCAAAUGAUAUUUCAAACUGUAAAGGCAUUCUUGUCACAACAUCUAAUCUUUCCCCUCCCCCCCAACCCCAUGUCC
rnacentral:lncRNA from 1 species